rnacentral:misc_RNA from 1 species
CAGAGUUGCAAAACUCCCAACCCUUUGUGAACGAACCUACCAGUUGCUUCGGCGGCAGACCCCUCUGGGGCCUAGCCUUUACGGGUACCCCGCCGGAGUCCUACAAACUCUUGAUUUUUUGGCAUCUCUGAGUCAACUAUAAAUAAGUUA